AGGGGAAGCCAUCCUUACCGAGUUUUUGGGAAGGUAGGGCGGCUGAAGAAGUGUUGGGCCAGGUCACACAAAGAGGCGAUUGAAGCAAAUACAGGUGCCAAGAAGUGAAAGGGACCGACGGAGCGCUACUUAUAGCCUGUUUCCCGCCGAAACGGCGACCCUUCCUCUUCUGAAGUGCGCUGCGAAGAUGCAAAAGUCGCAUCACC
rnacentral:lncRNA from 1 species